UGGAUUACAACCCCGGAAUGAUCCAGAAAACAAGAAGGAAAAUCAUAGCCCACUACCAAGAUUCCCUCCAGUUGAACCAGAGAUGGAGGGUCUUUCCAAUUGACAAGCACAACAUUUUUAUCCAUUAAGCUUCGCAUCCAUAUUGCCAAGAUGACUAUCAGCUUCAAGAUCUUCAACUUUAGUCUCAUACCUCAUAUCACCGGGCAUCAUUCCCACAAAGUGUGCAUUAUCAUGUUUAUGUAAAGGAUUCAACGUGAUAUUAAGGGUGUCACUGCCUUGAAUCAAAUUUUCCUGGAUCUUGUGCUUCGAGCAUACCACAAACCGAUCACCCCAGCUUUCUCAAAAUUCAAAGCAAAACAUGUUAGACUGGACUUAGUCGGUCCUCAUUAUUAAGAACAUCUUUUGUUUCUUUCAUUUCCACUUUUUCCAUUUUUUUUCGUGGUAGUCAAAUCUUAUAGAGAUCACCUACGUAUCAUGACCCCGCAUGAAUCAGACCUUGCGUAGUUCGGGCCAAUAAAAAUUAAACGACAAUAAAAUACUUUUUGGAUUUUCAUAUUUUCAUAGAAAAACCAACUUGAUUGCAAUGGUUCAAACACUGACCAAACUAACAAACUUAAUGAACAGACAACAUACAGACUUGAAAAUUAAAGAUACCACAUAUUCUAAUAUAAAGAAUUACAAACUCAAAAACAAAUAACCAGAUUCCUUUCUAUGUUUGACAAAUUUAAACAAAUGAUUAUUUUUGCAAACGUGACCCCUUCCCAAUUUCUCAUGAAUUUUGAGGCCGAAAAAAUUAUUUCACGACACUCCACAAACUUGUCCAUUUUUUGACGCAAAUCGCCUUUCGACAACUGAAGAUACUCUAAGGCUAUCUCGGCAAGAACGGUUUAAGGCAUUAUAAAAACUGGCUCGACUUAUUUUGAUCAAAAUCCAAAGGGCACUCACUUGCCUACUGACUCUUUUGUUUCAAAUUGAAAUAAAAGACCUGGUAUUGUCAACACGGCCUUUCAGCGUCUCGAAGACGAAGAUUUUAAGGUUGUGUGGGUCAACCGGUCCAAAAUCUAAAAAAAUGACCCAAUUGGCCGUUUAUGCAAAGUCAGCCUUCUGGCGUUCCUUUCGGGAACAUUCGGCUAUAUUUGACAAAAAAGCGGCAUCACCCGACUUAUUUAGAAUGAAAUUAACAUUUGACAAUUUUUUCCAUUUUUGCAAUGGGGGAGGUUGGACAUCACCAACAUAUUUAUGACAAAAAUUAAAAUUUUUACAUUUUUUUUGGCUAUUUUAGCAAACGGGAGGUUGGACCCGAUGAGGGUUGCCUACGUAUCUCACAUCCGGUGAGAAUCAAACCAGC
rnacentral:lncRNA from 1 species